GAUGAAGGCCUUCGGGUUGUAAACCGCUUUUACCAGGAAGGAAAAUGACAGUACCUGGAGAAUAAGGUGCGGCCAACUACGUGCCAGCAGCCGCGGUGACACGUAGGCACCAAGCGUUGUCCGGAUUUAUUGGGCGUAAAGAGCUCGUAGGCGGUUCAGUAAGUCGGGUGUGAAAACUCUGGGCUUAACCCAGAGACGCCACCCGAUACUGCUGUGACUUGAGUCCGGUAGGGGAGUGGGGAAUUCCUGGUGUAGCGGUGAUAUGCGCAGAUAUCAGGAGGAACACCAAUGGCGAAGGCACCACUCUGGGCCGAGACUGACGCUGAGGAGCGAAAGCGUGGGUAGCAAACAGGAUUAGAUACCCUGGUAGUCCACGCCGUAAACGGUGGGCACUAGAUGUGGGUUCCAACCAACGGAAUCCGCGUCGUCGCUAACGCAUUAAGUGCCCCGCCUGGGGAGUACGGCCGCAAGGUUAAAACUCAAAGGAAUUGACGGGGGCCCGCACAAGCAGCGGAGCGUGUUGCUUAAUUCGAUGCUACGCGAAGAACUUGACUGNGUUUGACAUGU
rnacentral:rRNA from 1 species